GCUUAUCUGUCCAAGCGCUUGGAUUCAGUUGCGAGCGGGUGGCCCUAAUGCCUAAAAGCUAUUGCAGCAGCUGCCCUAUUGACUAAGGCUGCAGAUAAACUGCCUCUAGGACAGAAGCUGACUAUCAUAGCUCUGCAUUCGUUAGGGAGUGUCAUAAGGCAACCGCCCAAUAGGUGGCUCUCAAACGCCCACAUCACCCACUACCAGAGUAUUCUAUUGGAUAAAGAUCGGGUUACUUUCGGUUCAACUGUCUUGAACCCCCGCUACCUUACUUCCGGACGAGACUGGACCCCGUCCUCCACUCUUGCCAGGAUAUCUUGGCUGAAGAGGCCGGUAUUCACCGAGACCUAACCGAUCAGCCAUACUAACCCAGAGGGUUCUGGCUACAGGUAGCAGAGGCACCUCCAGAGAUUACUUGUACCUCUUUCAACCCCUCACUAUCCUCAACCAUAUUGGAUCUUACCAGCAUUUCCUGGUGCCAACAUACAGCACUUGAUUCUCUACAUGGGGCCACCUGAAGGGACUACCUGUCCGGAGGAUGGCUUUGGCAGGUUGAGCACCCUGAUACUCCCCUGGUUAUGAGGGGAUAGAGAUAAUACUACUUUAGAGUCCUCCCCACUCUGGACCAAGAGCUCCCCAUCUGUGGUGGCUGCCACAGAAUUAACCGCGGCACCAUUAUAGAAGACAGUAUGGAGAUUCCUCAGCGAUCUGAAAAUGGAUUCAUCAUGUGAUCCAGCAAUCCCACUCCUGGGAAUUUACCCACACACAAAUCAAAGCUAUUUGUCCCAUUUUUGCAGUUCAAUUCACUUAAGAUACUCAGUCAGCCCAGAGGAUCAGCUGAUGACUGGGCGUGGAAUACGUGUAUAUGUAUGUACCCCAUGCAAUAUGACUCAGCCGCUAAAGAAUGAAAUCCUGUCUUUUGCAACAAAAUGGAUGCAACUGGAAACGAUUAUGCUUAGGUCAAAUUAGCCAAUCCCAAGACAACUGUUUUCUGAUGUAUGGCAGUUAACAUAGAAUACCAAAAAACAUAGGAAUGCAGUGGUCAUUUUGGGAUGUGAUUAUUUUUAUCCCUUGUUUAAUACUCCUUAGUACCUGUAGUCCUAGUUUUUGCUUACUGGUUAUUAUGAGUGGCAUAUUAAGUCUAUGAGUAGAGUCAAUUAAACUGGCUUUGAAAAAACUCAUCAAGAGGGAGGGGAACAGGAAGAGUGGUCACCUUGGAAAUGUACCUAUGGAAUGUGUAAGGUCUGUUUUCUGUAUUAAAGAUGUCUAGAAUAUUAAGUGUGAACAACAAGUGACUACUGCACCUGUUCAGAUGCUGGGUCUACCAGUUGACCAGACCUGCCACUGCCACUGGCUGAUAUCCUCUAGCAGUUAUCUUUGGGGACAAUGGUCAAUUUUUAGUUUACAGUCAUUGCCCAAUCUAAUGCAAAUCAAGUAAGAUCACAUAACCAGUAUGCUUUGUUGAUACUGUUCCUUUGGGGGACAUAUCAGUUCAAGAACAGCAUCAGUAUUUCAGGAGAGAACAGUUUGUCAACUAGUCCUAACAUCCCUCAGCAGUAGGCAAGGAUUCACUACCUGGGCAAGUGUAUUCUCAGUUGAAGUCAGAGUUAUAACAGUUGAAACCCACUGCAACUUGAAUGCGAGCACAACUAGAUUCAAGAACCUCAAAUUCUGUUUUUACAUUAAAUAGGUACUAAGAUAGCAAACGUUAAGUAAUUCAAUGUCUAACACAGGCAGUUGAGCAGUCCCCUAUGCUCAGGGUGAUUUUCAUUAUCAGAGAAGGGUGCAACUCCAUCUGUGGCUGUUGUAGCAUAGCCUGGGUAUGCCCACCUUGCUUUGACAUACCCACCUUAUUCCUGUUUUCAAAGCCUAGGCCCACAUUUCUUUGGUCAAGUAACUCCCGUGUUCUUAUAGAAGGAAUCAUGGGUCAUUGAACAGGGAAGUUAGCAUAGAAAAGCAUGGGUAAACAUUUUCCUCUCAGUGGUAUCCUCUGCCAAAAACAGAUCAAAACCCAUUCUGGAGAAAACCAAAGCAGGGAUAGGUUUCUCCUUCAACACCUAGGAAAGCCAACUGAGAAACCGACUUUGAUAUUGUGACUCAAUUUUGAGAAAAAUCCUUAUGGAACAAUAUGCUUACUUUAAAUCAUGGACUGGAACAGUAUUUGGGGCUGGCACUGUGGCGUAGCAGGUAAAGCCACCACCUGCAGUCCUGGCAACCCAUACAGGUGCUGGUUUGAGUCCCAGCUGCUCCUCUUCCGAUCCAGCUCUCUACUAUGUCCUGGGAAAGCAGUGGAGGAUGGCCCAGGUCCUUGGGCUCCUGCACCCAUGUGGGAGACCUAGCAGCUCUUGGCUCCAGAUUGGCCCAGCUCUGGUCAUUAUGGCCAUUUGGGGGAGAACCAGCAGAUGGAAGACCCCUCUGCCUCUACCUCCCUGUAGCCAUCUUUCAAGUGUCUUAAAGAUGUAUUUGCUUUGUAAACAUCACUAAGGGCUAGAUACCGAUUCAGAAACCUACAGUGUGUAGUAAGAGGAAGUAACAUGGAAUCACUGCCUGUGACUUGGAGGCCACUGUGAAGGAGAACAAUGCAGUGAAUCCAAGUUCUUCACAUUAGGACACAUAUCAUUGCAUCAUAUUCACUUCUGGAUGCUUAUAGCCCUUAAUAAAAUUAAGACAGGGAAGUAUGGCUAGCACUUUAAAACUUAUCAGAAACAUACCUAAUCAAUGGGCUUCCCACAGAAGGUAACAAAUUUAAGUUUCUGCAUUGAACAAACCAACCCUUUCUGAAGGCUACCCCGGGUCUACCACCUAACCCGACUUCUGCCUCGAAAUUUGAGUUUCUCAAAGUCACUAUUUUCUGCUUUGAUGUAGCUAUUUAUCAUGUAAUGUAGUUGUCAUUCUUGCUUAGCAAUGGAGUAAUUGUGUAGACAGAUUAUCUAGUGAAAACUUUCUCCAAAUUUAGCUCUGUCGGAACAGCAAACACCUGUAUCUGUUUCUAGGGGUCAGAAACAGUGUAGUUCCUCUAAAUACUUCUCUGGCUCAUGCCUCAUUAGGUUACUGUUAAGCUGAGGGCCAGGUUAUGUUCUCAGUUCAAAACCAAAAGGGACAAAAGAGGGAUCCACUUCCAAGUAAACCCAUAUUGCAGCUGUCAGACCUCAAAGUAGUCACCCUCCAUGUUCCUUUACAGUUGAUGGUAAGCUUCAAGUCCUCGCAACCUGUUGUACUGAGGGUCUGUUCGUUGCUCUAACACCUGAGCCCCACUAUUCAGUGACAACAUGCUUCUACCCCCUGCCCAAGUUUGUCAAAGACAAAGAACUUCAAGAUAAAAGCCAGUCUAACCUCGUCUUGCAAAUGACACUCUGCUUUCCCUUAAUACCUCAAGAACAAACUCACUGCUUCUGUCUUCAAAGGAAGAGGAUUAGCAUAGACUGAACACCUGCAAACAAGAGCCACCACCAGGGGGUCUGCUGGGCUCCCUGUUCCACAUAAGCUAGGCUCUCUGUUCAUGGAGUCCUAUCACUUGUCCUUUUUUAUGUAUCAUGGUAUGGAGACACUGGAUUUAGGGACCUACUACAUAAGCAUCAGAAUAGUCAUGGGUGAGUUCAGGGUGAUAGAAGGGGCUCAUCUGAGAGGGAUCUGAUAGCUAUCUCAAAUCCUGAAGGAUUUAAGCCACAGCACUUGGAGCUGCCUGUUAAGUUAUACUGUGCAGUGUAGUAAGCUUUACUGUUUAGGAGGCUGCUAUCAUUGAGCAUCAGUCUUCCUGUCACUGAUCCGAGGAAUGGUCACUCUGGCAUCUUCACACAGCUGUCACUGGUUAGCACCCCCCACCAUACUAGCUCUCAUUCCAAGAAACAGGAGCCUGUGUAGGCAGUUAGCACCCGGCAAAGGCUUAGAGACCAACAGUAUUUCAAGCCUGUCCCCUCAUAGUGGAGUCACUUUGGAUCCGUACCCCUUGGUACGGAUCAUAUCAAGAUACAAGACUAGUCCUACCCGAGGGCUACCCUAACCUGAGUAACCUCCAAAUGGAGGUUUCUAACAAAGCUGCCUCCCAAACCAGGCAGACUGGCUGAGCUCUUCCUUGCAGAGGCUUGUCAGGUAAAGCAGUACAAGCAAAGGUUAAGGGUUGAAUUACAUCACAGAAUCCUGGAGCCAAGAUGUACCUCUAACCAAGGCAGAGAACGAAGUCUUAAGAACCAAGCCACCUAGUCUUGGAUUAGAGAAUUUCUAGAUGCUGCAUUCCAUUUAUACAACCUUUGGUCAUUUCCAACAGAAAACCGCUUUAGAAUUAUUACCACGAAAGGACAUUGAAAUUCCUAAGUCAGGUAAAGAAGGCAGACACUUGAACUCAGUCAGGCUCUAUGUGAUAAAUUCCAAGAUAAUACCAUCCAAUCGAAGCCUUUUUCUCACAAGAACGCCCACAGUCACUGCUUCUGAUAAGCAGGACUUCAUGUCAUAGCUAGAGCAAUCAGGUUAGAAGUAAAAGCUGACAGGGUAGAAGUAGAGGUGGUUACCAUCUGCAGAUAAAGUGAUCUUACAUGCGAAGGGCUGAAGAACUCACUCCAAGAAACACUGAGGACUCAAGUUAAGACUAAGGUCAGUGGCAUUUCCAUACACUAGUCACUACCCCCCAUACUCAGGACAGGUGGGUUAGCACAUCAGGGAAGGUAGUACUGCAGGACCUUGGUUGCUGCACAGCCCUCCUAUCACUUCAACUAGGGAAGUACACGCCCAUACCCUGUAAUAGGGUCAGUCACACCUUCUCCAUGCCUUUGUAUUUGACAAGGGCUUCAGAACUCCAGCCCACUGAUCCACUGCUUUAGAAUUCAGACUUCAAAAAAUUACAUGGGCCCAGCCCAUCUUGGCAUCAGUACGCCCCAGAUUCCGUGGCCCUGGUGGGGUCACCUGCAAGCACACGGACUCCAGCCCCAGCAGCUACUUCUGCCCCCGUCCUGGCUUCCACAAGUUCCCUGGACCCCACCCCACCCCCACACAGCCCAAGUCCAUCCUGACUUCACUAGGUGAGGUUAACAGAGCACGAGUACCCAGACUCUGGCCUGAAGAUAGUCCUUUAGAAGAGCACUGCAGCUUAGUGAGCACAGGUGUGCACACUGCCAUGACCCCAGCCACCGCCAGGAUGAGCAUCUCUGGACUCAGGAACACAGCUACCCCAGGGGUGCCCAAUGUUACUUUGGGAGACUGUCACAGGUCACCUGGCCCCCGUGUCCAUCCUGCUGUCCUGCCCUGUCACAGGUUUGGUCCCCUGAGAAUUCUGAUAAGCACCUUCAUGUCUGCAUUUGAGGUCUUCUAGGUAAACCUAUCCAUCCUCAGUUAUUUACACAUACAAUUCAUUUACCUACAGUAGCAGCAACCUGGGCCAACGUAGAUCACGUGACGCAGAGCCAGGUAUACAGGUUCCCAGCAGUGGAACCCUGUCUUCAGAUAUUCUCUUAUCUAAGUUCCACUGGGAAAGUGGAACUGGAUCCCUGCAUCAACAAGCUAUGUGCCAAACCCAGGAAUUAUAGUCAGAGUUCUACGACUUGGAAAGUCUAACUUUAUACAGGCUCCUUCUGGAGUUGUCUCCCACCUCCUGGGUACUCCCAGUAACUCUUCACAUAUGUGACCCAGCAUUGAGAGUGAGGGGUACAUGCAAAGCACUUUAUUAUGGGGAUAAAGUCUAAAGGGGAGUCUACAAGUCAUGGA